rnacentral:lncRNA from 1 species
UUUUAAAAAAAUCUGAUUUUUUAAAAUAUUUUUUUAUUUUUUUAGUUAUAGUUGGACACAGUACUUUUAUCUUAUUUAUUUUUAUGUGGUGCUGAGGAUCGAACCCAGGGCUCUGCACGUGUCAGGCGAGUGUUCCACGGCUGAGUCACAACCCCAGCCCCUCUAAUUUAACUCAUUACAUCUUCUCUUAGGUCAUUGAAAUUUUAACUAUUAAUUUUCUAGAUGCUUUCUCUGACAUUUUCUGAAUUGUGGUGUCAUUGGAGUCACUUGUUAAAGUGUUAUGAGAUAUUUGAAGUAGUUUGUUUCCUUGUUUUUCAAUAUUGCUUGUAUAUCUACCCAUAUUUUGGGAUGGUUAUUGCUUAUUCUUUUGAUCAAGGGACUACUUCAUUAGCUCCUUUUUCUUAUGAGCCCUGAAUUGAGUGAAUAUUCAGGUACUUUAAUUUAGUGUGUGGCCUCAGUUGAUUCCAGUCCACAUUGGGAGAUUCUGCUGAACCCUAUUUACUACAAUCAUUUCAGAGACAAGCCACAUGCUAUUCAACCAUAUAAAAGGUGAAAACUUGUUGAUAUUUCUUCUAAUCUAGGUAUAAUCUUGUAGUAAGUUUCUGGAGCAGGUUGAAGAAUUAAUUAUUAUAUAUAGUAAAAUUGUUAUAACAUUAUUAGGCUGAAAGUGUAAUAAAAACAGUUGAGUAAAUGAUUGAGAAAAGGAAAGAAAAGAUAGAAUAAAAUGAUAUGGACCACGUUCAAAAGGAGAAAAAAAAAUGGAUGGAGGGUAUUUGCGGUAGUAGCAGACAGUGUGAGAGAGAAUAGGAGUUUUUAGGAGUCUAAGCUAGGACUAGGAAAAAAGUAUAUAACUAUUCCAAUUAACACUUUAACAGUCAGAAGAAAUACAUUCAGAUGGAUUGAAGGUAAAAUGUUGGCUAUUAGGGUACAACCAAUAAUCAAGAUUAAUAGUAUUGUAUUGAUCAAAGUUGAUAUUAGAAUUAUGUAUAAUAAAUAAUACCAAGAUGAAGACAAUUCUUAUUGAAUCUUGGCUUGGAUUUCAUUAGGAUUGGGGACAUUUCAAAGAUGUUCAUUAUCUUUGGUUUUAGGUCCCUCCAGAGGUAUUGGGGCACAGUAGCCACUGCCCUAGUUGCUAUGGACUUCCCUCUGACCAAUUUGGGUUUGUCAUGUCAGUGGCCUGCUGCUUAGAAGUGGGGUGUUGUGUCUAUUGGUUUUUUCUAUUGUGUGAAGAGGUUCCGACUACAGGGUCUGGUCUGUGAUUGUGAUUGUAGUUGGUCACCAUGUACCUACUCCCCUUUUCUUGGUGUAUAUUCUGGUGGCUGUUUAUCAGUGCAGGUCCUGUGGUUGUGAAUUUUCCAUGAGUAAUCUGUGGAGCAAAAAUAUUCCCCCUGGCUUAUGCAACUCACUGAUGUACCAUUGCUAUUACUGAGUAAACAGACUCAACAAGUUCAUCUAGGUCUAGUUUCCACUUCCCCAGGUUGUAAAUGGCAGACACCUAUUCUUUCUGCUGAUUAUGGCUAAGGCAAGGUCUAUCCAGUAUUCAAAGAGUGCCUUAUCACUCUGCAGUUAUGGUCAAGGGUCAGGCUGGGAGUCAGGUCAGCCUGGGAGAUAAGUGAGUCUGGUGGCUGUUGCUUUUCAUUGCCUUGGAUCCAAGGAAACUUAUGUCUUGACUGACCUGCUGAUGUCUGUAGUAAUUGUCUGUGCACUUUUCCUUUAAUCUUCUUGGGUACUUAGGCACCUUCUUGUUGUGGUUUUCUGCUGUAUGCAGCCAUGAUAUGGAGAUUCACACCUCUGUGUCACUGGAUAUUCAGGCAGCUUUACUCUGAGUCAGCCCAAUGGAGGCCCAUUAUCAGGGGCACAGUCUCAUACUUUCUUAGAACUAACACAAUUUUCCACUAUUUUUCCUCAAUCCCCAGUGGAAGCAGGCAGCAAUUGCAAUUCUAAGGGCUCCCCUUUCCCACUUCCUCUGCUCAGUGCUUAAAAUGCUUUGGAGCUCAGAUAUGAACUUGAUUUCCACCACCCCAAAUUGUGGGGAUCUUCUCUGUUUCUGUCUGGGACUGGUGGCAGCCGAGAUUAGCACUGUAUUAAGUGAGCACUUCCCAAGAAGGGCUGCUCCACCCUGUUUCCCUUGUUCAUGGUGGGGGAAGAGGUCUCAGUGACUUUCAGCUAGUACCAACCCCUCCAUGAAUUUUUUCUAGCUGGAUUCUUAAGAGAACCCAUAGCAGGGUGCUCUAAUUUAAUUGGAGGCUCUGGAGGUGAGGAGAAGGUAUGUUAAUUCAAGGGGUAACAGGUCAAUUGUGGGCUCCCCAAAAUGGCUGCUUGAUCUUACAAGGCUUUCUAUUCAUUAUUUAGUUUAAUACUGCUUGAUCUGCUUCAAGAAAAUGUUGUUAAGGGUAUUAGCUUAUGUGCUUUUCAACUCCCUCCUUGUUUCUCUUCCUCUCUCUGUUGUCUUUCUACUGUUCCCCCAUCCUGGUCUGGGUUCUGGGUUGGGGAACUUUGUACUUAGUUUUUACUAAGAGAACCAAUCUUCAAGUUUUGCCAGGUCUAAGACUUUAUAACAUUGGGUGUUAGAGGACUUAUUUUGUCACCCACCUCUCAGACAUGUUGUUUCUUCUCUGUUUUCUCUCUGUGUUGUGAAGGGAUCAGGAAUCACUGCCUAGCUCCUUUCUGCCAUCUUCUGAGAGCUGUUGUAUAUUAAUUAUUUAAUUGAAUUUUUCUAUAUUUUUUCUUUCUGAAUUUUAUCCUCUUCAUUUUUUCUAUUUUUUCUCUUCUCAUUACUUCUUCUCUCUCUUCC